UUUCUUGGUCAUUUANGANGAAGUAAAAGUCGUAACNAGGUUUCCGUAGGUGAACCUGCGGAAGGAUCAUUA
rnacentral:rRNA from 1 species